rnacentral:rRNA from 1 species
GGCCAGACUCCUACGGGAGGCAGCAGUGGGGAAUAUUGCACAAUGGGCGCAAGCCUGAUGCAGCCAUGCCGCGUGUGUGAAGAAGGCCUUCGGGUUGUAAAGCACUUUCAGCGGGGAGGAAGGCAAUACGGUUAAUAACCGUGUUGAUUGACGUUACCCGCAGAAGAAGCACCGGCUAACUCCGUGCCAGCAGCCGCGGUAAUACGGAGGGUGCAAGCGUUAAUCGGAAUUACUGGGCGUAAAGCGCACGCAGGCGGUCUGUCAAGUCGGAUGUGAAAUCCCCGGGCUCAACCUGGGAACUGCAUUCGAAACUGGCAGGCUUGAGUCUUGUAGAGGGGGGUAGAAUUCCAGGUGUAGCGGUGAAAUGCGUAGAGAUCUGGAGGAAUACCGGUGGCGAAGGCGGCCCCCUGGACAAAGACUGACGCUCAGGUGCGAAAGCGUGGGGAGCAAACAGGAUUAGAUACCCCAGUACCA